GGGGAAUAUUGGACAAUGGGGGAAACCCUGAUCCAGCCAUGCCGCGUGAAUGAUGAAGGCCUUCGGGUUGUAAAGUUCUUUUGGUGGGGACGAUGAUGACGGUACCCACAGAAUAAGCUCCGGCUAACUUCGUGCCAGCAGCCGCGGUAAUACGAAGGGAGCAAGCGUUGUUCGGAAUUACUGGGCGUAAAGGGUGUGUAGGCGGUUCGAUUAGUCAGAUGUGAAAGCCCCGGGCUCAACCUGGGAACUGCGUUUGAUACUGUCGAGCUUGAAUUCGGUAGAGGUGAGUGGAAUUCCCAGUGUAGAGGUGAAAUUCGUAGAGAUUGGGAAGAACACCGGUGGCGAAGGCGGCUCACUGGACCGACAUUGACGCUGAAACACGAAAGCGUGGGGAGCAAAC
rnacentral:rRNA from 1 species